rnacentral:lncRNA from 1 species
GUCUCUUCUGGGCUAAGCCCCGCCACCGCGGCCGAGCAGGGCGGGCCCGGACCUUCGACCCACGCUCCGGGCAGAUGCCGGUGGCCUUGGAGGACCCGCCCUCCGGCCUGCCGGGCCUUUCCUCGGGGAGGCUGUAGCUGAGAUCCCCGCCCCGCCGUCCAACCCCGCGAGACGAGCCCCCUCUCCUCUCCCGCCCGGGCCUCACCUCUCCUGCAGGAAACGAGUGCAGGCGCCGGGCCGUGGUACUGGGGAAGGGCGCCGGCGGCAGCGGCGACGCCCGCUGUUUUCCUAUACAGCCAUAUGUGUACACAUACGUGAUGGAAGAAUGUGUUAUGAGCCAUGAGAGAUGUACAAAGUGCUGGGAAGAGAGGAGCGUGCAUAUGGAUGUGCAAGAUAAGUGUCUAUCAAAAUUUGAAGAACUGAAAAACAGGAUUCAAGUCAUAGGUUGGUGCAAAAGUAGUUGCGGCUUUUGCCAUUGCAAGUAAUGGCAAAAACCGCAAUUACUUUUGCACCAACCUAAGACACUUUUGUAAAAGGAGUAUACAUUUAUAAAAUUGGUAGAAAAAGCAGUUUAGCAAUGAGUAUCAACAAAAAUUUGUAAACUUUUCUCAAGUCACCUAACUAAAAAUGGGGAUAAUGGGAAUAAUCCAAAAUAUUAAAUAUCUACUAGGUUUGACUAUACAAACUUGUCAUUUUUAUGGGUCAAAAUGCUUAAUAUUGGUAAUUUCACAUAUGCACAAAAGAUAGUCAUUGUAUCAUAAUUUGUGAUUGUGAAAAAAUGGGAAAAUAGUGCACAACAUUAGAGGAACGAUUAAACUGUGGCACAAACUUUAAUGUUAGUCCUUUGUAAUUUUUAAAAAUUGAGGUAUAAUUUGCAUACAGUAAAUUCCACAGACUUAGGUGACAUUUAGCAGUUGAUAAAUGUCAUUUAGCAACUUGAUGACAUUUAGCAGUUGUAUAUACCACCCAGUCAAGAUCUAGAACAUUUUCAUUGCUCCAGAAAGUUAUUUUGUGCCAGUUUUCCAGACAAUCCACCACCACCCCAAGGCAACUAUUUUCUCUUUUUUUUUUUGAGACGGAGUCUUGCUCUGUCACCCAGGCUGGAGUGCAGUGGUGCAGUCUCAGCUCACUGUGUCCUCUGCCUCCCGGGUUCAAGCAAUUCUCCUGCCUCAGCCUCCUGAGUAGCUGGGAUUACAGGUGUCUGCCACCACGCCUGGCUAAUUUUUGUAUUUUUA